rnacentral:misc_RNA from 1 species
CCCCUGAGCGUCCCCCCACAGGAUCCCCCCACACCUCCGUCACCCUCACCACCACCAGCCAGAGGUCCUCGCUGCCGCCGUCGCUUCUCCCGGGCCGGGCAAGUCUUCCCCCUGGUCGCUCUCCGCUUCUGCAGUCCGCCCCUCACCACGCACCUCCCUUGAUUCUUCAGCUCCUGUCCGCCCCAGCGGCCCUCAAGACCGGCUUGCCUGACUCUAGGAACACACUGCCAACAUGGUGAGGAUGAUCGGGGCGAUGCCUGCCGUGGCGGUGCGGCAGCAGAGAAAGCACGUGAAGCAUGAGGAAAUUAAAAACCGCCCCAGCACCUUAACUAUAGAACCCAACGCCAGCUACCCAGCUAAGUCCUCCACAACAGUCGCCAAGAUCAAGGUGAAACCCCCCGGGGGAAGGAGGGGCCUACCAACCCCACUGAGAAGUCCCCGGGCCUCACCUAGAACCUCCCCACAAGCAUCCCCAGCCGCCUCCCCUAAGCAAUCCCCAGUCACCUCCCCCAGGACGCAGCAGAAGCAGAUCGGGACGCAGGGGUGCGCCCACAGGUGUGUCCACGGCUACCUGUGUGGGCGGGUGUCGCUGCUACACGUGUCGGUGGUGUGUGUCUUGCUGGGCAUCACGCUGCUGGUGGUGGGCCUCGUGCAGCUGGCACCCGGAGCUGCGACCGUGACUGACCUGGGGUUCCCUGCAGGCUCGGAGGUCAACAAGUACGCCAUCAUCGCCGCUGGCACGGGGUUCUUGGGUCUCGGGUUCCUCCUACUCAUCAUCCUGUGUGCCUGCCAGAAAAACACACACAGGCGGCGACGUCCCCCUCCACAUCUUGUUCAGGCACAUCCGAAUCACAAAGGCAAGAGCGGUAGCGGCCGGAGCAGCAAAGGUCACCACUCCAAAGGUCACAGUAGACAGAUGCAGGUGCACACCAUAGAGGGCGCGGUGGCUGCCAGCACAAGCCGACAGUGAGUGAUGUCUGCAACUCCCCACUACUACUACUGUACUACUACUACUACUACUUGCAGCAUCUGGCACUACACACGCUACAAACUUAUGCACUCACUAUAUUAGGCAAACUGCUACUACUUGGAGUAUCUAGCACUACACUAAACUGAUACCCCAUUGACUACUGCAUAGACAACAGGUAUCAUUCGAUGGACUACGGCAUUUGAUUGGCUAACCAUAUUUUGAAAGAAGAAGUUGCCAAAUACCGUACGUUGGUACAACAGGUACACACAGUAGAGGGUGCUGUGGCUACAGAUGGCAGCGGUGGGUCGCAGCAGCAGGAGCAAGAUGGUGGCGAAAC